rnacentral:rRNA from 1 species
AGUGAACGCUGGCGGUAGGCCUAACACAUGCAAGUCGAACGGCAGCACAGUAAGAGCUUGCUCUUACGGGUGGCGAGUGGCGGACGGGUGAGGAAUACAUCGGAAUCUACUUUUUCGUGGGGGAUAACGUAGGGAAACUUACGCUAAUACCGCAUACGACCUACGGGUGAAAGCAGGGGAUCUUCUGACCUUGCGCGAUUGAAUGAGCCGAUGUCGGAUUAGCUAGUUGGCGGGGUAAAGGCCCACCAAGGCGACGAUCCGUAGCUGGUCUGAGAGGAUGAUCAGCCACACUGGAACUGAGACACGGUCCAGACUCCUACGGGAGGCAGCAGUGGGGAAUAUUGGACAAUGGGCGCAAGCCUGAUCCAGCCAUACCGCGUGGGUGAAGAAGGCCUUCGGGUUGUAAAGCCCUUUUGUUGGGAAAGAAAAGCAGCAGGUUAAUACCACGCUGUUCUGACGGUACCCAAAGAAUAAGCACCGGCUAACUUCGUG